rnacentral:rRNA from 2 species
UGACUGGGGCGGUCUCCUCCUAAAGAGUAACGGAGGAGCACGAAGGUUGGCUAAUCCUGGUCGGACAUCAGGAGGUUAGUGCAAUGGCAUAAGCCAGCUUGACUGCGAGCGUGACGGCGCGAGCAGGUGCGAAAGCAGGUCAUAGUGAUCCGGUGGUUCUGAAUGGAAGGGCCAUCGCUCAACGGAUAAAAGGUACUCCGGGGAUAACAGGCUGAUACCGCCCAAGAGUUCAUAUCGACGGCGGUGUUUGGCACCUCGAUGUCGGCUCAUCACAUCCUGGGGCUGAAGUAGGUCCCAAGGGUAUGGCUGUUCGCCAUUUAAAGUGGUACGCGAGCUGGGUUUAGAACGUCGUGAGACAGUUCGGUCCCUAUCUGCCGUGGGCGCUGGAGAACUGAGGGGGGCUGCUCCUAGUACGAGAGGACCGGAGUGGACGCAUCACUGGUGUUCGGGUUGUCAUGCCAAUGGCACUGCCCGGUAGCUAAAUGCGGAAGAGAUAAGUGCUGAAAGCAUCUAAGCACGAAACUUGCCCCGAGAUGAGUUCUCCCUGAGACUUUAGGUCUCCUGAAGGAACGUUGAAGACGACGACGUUGAUAGGCCGGGUGUGUAAGCGCAGCGAUGCGUUGAGCUAACCGGUACUAAUGAACCGUGAGGCUUAACCUUACAACGCCGAAG